UAUUAAAAUUUUUAUCCAUUUGUACGGUUAAAAGCUAGCAUGACUAACGGAUAAUCACAGUGACAUGUGUCGUGUCAUGUAUGCCUUAUAUUGACACGUAUACAGAUUAAUUUUUAACAGUAUAAAUAGAUGAAAUUUGUAACA
rfam:Gossypium arboreum cultivar AKA8401 contig_5488_1, whole genome shotgun sequence.